UAACGAAGACGAGACCCCCUUCCACAACUGGAACUUACUUGUACCAAGCAAAUAUUUUCAAUCCAAAAGAAAUCUGAUAUAAAUCAAGAGGAGAAGCUGCAACGACAAGUCGGCGGUUCCGACAUGCCCCCAUACUCGAUUCCACCAAGAUCAUCUGGAAUAAUAAAUAGACUUCCGAAGUUUCGUUGCAGAUUAUUGCGAGCGAGUAUUCAAGCAGUAAUUCAAGUGGAGACGGUCGAGAGGUAUGCAGCGAGAAAGAGAGAACGGGAGAGAGUGUCUGAGGGGUGAAAGUUAUUGAGCCACGAUCGGUUAGAAAAUCAGAUAUGCCAGAGAGUUUCGCUCCUGGGAGGAAGUGGCCCAGCCGGAUGUUUACUUGAAACUCCAACCGCAUCUACGACGGAGCUAAGUGAAGUAAGUUGUUCAAGGAAGACGUCGGUGAAUCAUCGAUCAACCGAUAACAAGAUAAUUGAUUUAAAUUAGAAGAGAUCAUCUAGGAUGUUAAAGGAUGAAUGAAGGCUGGAAGAAAUAAUUCGUAGAAGUUCUUGGACGCCCAGCGUGAAUUGUACGUAGCCAGGGGCGAAAACCCA